GACGAACGCUGGCGGCGUGCCUAAUACAUGCAAGUCGAACGCAGUGGGGACGGUUGAGUAACAAGUGGGUAACAUCCCCAUCAGAGGGGAUAACACUUGGAAACAGGUGCUAAACCGAUACUGAUGGAUGGACCCGCGGGGCAUUAGCUAGUUGGUGAGGUAACGGCUCACCAAGGCCACGAUGCAUAGCCGACCUGAGAGGGUGAUCGGCCACACGGGGACUGAGACACGGCCCAGACUCCUACGGGAGGCAGCAGUAGGGAAUCUUCGGCAAUGGACGAAAGUCUGACCGAGCAACGCCGCGUGAGUGAAGAAGGUUUUCGGAUCGUAAAACUCUGUUGUUAGAGAAGCGGUAUCUAACCAGAAAGCCACGGCUAACUACGUGCCAGCAGCCGCGGUAAUUC
rnacentral:rRNA from 1 species